rnacentral:tRNA from 1 species
GCGCUGAUGGUCUAAUGGUUAUGAUUUGACCUUCCCAAGGUUACGAUCCGGGUUCGAUUCCCGGUCGGCGCA